CGGACGGGUGAGUAACGCGUGGGUAACCUGCCUUAUACCGGGGGAGUAACAGCCAGAAAUGACUGCUAAUACCGCAUAAGCGCACAGAACCGCAUGGUUCCGUGUGAAAAACUCCGGUGGUAUAAGAUGGACCCGCGUUGGAUUAGCUAGUUGGCAGGGCAGCGGCCUACCAAGGCGACGAUCCAUAGCCGGCCUGAGAGGGUGAACGGCCACAUUGGAACUGAGACACGGUCCAAACUCCUACGGAGGCAGCAUG
rnacentral:rRNA from 1 species